AGGACGAACGCUGGCGGCGUGCUUAACACAUGCAAGUCGAGCGGUAAGGCCUUUCGGGGUACACGAGCGGCGAACGGGUGAGUAACACGUGGGUGAUCUGCCCUGCACUCUGGGAUAAGCCUGGGAAACUGGGUCUAAUACCGGAUAUGACCUGCUCUCGCAUGGGGGUGGGUGGAAAGAUUUAUCGGUGCAGGAUGGGCCCGCGGCCUAUCAACUUGUUGGUGGGGUAAUGGCCUACCAAGGCGACGACGGGCAGCCGACCUGAGAGGGUGACCGGCCACACUGGGACUGAGACACGGCCCAGACUCCUACGGGAGGCAGCAGUGGGGAAUAUGCACAAUGGGCGAAAGCCUGAUGCAGCGACGCCGCGUGAGGAUGAAGGCCUUCGGGUUGUAAACCUCUUUCAGCAGGACGAAGCGCAAGUGACGGUACUGCAGAAGAAGCACCGGCUAACUACGUGCCAGCAGCCGC
rnacentral:rRNA from 1 species